rnacentral:rRNA from 1 species
UACGGAGGGUGCAAGCGUUAUCCGGAUUCACUGGGCUUAAAGGGUGCGUAGGCGGAUAGGUAAGUCCGUGGUGAAAUCCUGCAGCUUAACUGCAGAACUGCCGUGGAUACUAUCUAUCUUGAGUGUCGUGGAGGUUAGCGGAAUAUGUCAUGUAGCGGUGAAAUGCUUAGAUAUGACAUAGAACACCCAUUGCGAAGGCAGCUAACUACGCGAUAAUUGACGCUGAUGCACGAAAGCGUGGGGAUCAAACAGG